GCCAGGCCAGCUCCCUCCUGCUGGAGCUGGCAGCUGUGCAGGUAAAGUUUGCUCACCCCAGGCCUGGAGGAGCCACUGGCAGGAGGGCACAGCUCCUCUGCAGGGAGCAGAGUCCAGUUCGCAGCCGCGGGGAUCGCCACCAUGACACAAGGAGCUCACCGGGCUGAGACGAGAGACGGGGACUCGGCUCUCCACGGGACUCACUGCAACCUCCCUGAAACAGAAAGUGGCAAAACAGCAAAGUGUAGCCGUGAGCCAGCUCAAGAGGACGCCUUUGGGUGGGGACCUUGCUGUUACAGCCCAGUAUCACAGGGAACUGCCAGUUCAGAUUGUCUUCUAUGGACAGUACAGUUAAAAAGCUAAAGAAGCCCGCCGAGGUCCCAUGAAAACCAGAACCAUCUACUUAUAAAGUGCUGUUGCCUCUGACCAAGAACAAAAAAUUGUUGUUGGAAUAAUAUGCGAACAGAUCAUGAAGAACUCUGUGGCACCAGUUAUGGAUCUUUUUGCCUAAAUGGAGGGAUUUGUUAUAUGAUUCCUACUGUAUCCAGUCCAUUCUGCAGGUCAGUGAAACUAAAGUUUGUGUGUCUAAGUAUUGGACAGUAGCUGUCUAAAGACUAUUUCUCCAUUUUCCCCUCUUUAAGGAAUCACUGCUAAAGCAUUAUCUAAAAGAAAAUACCAAUUAUCUAUUACUUACCUAGUUUACAGAGAC